rnacentral:rRNA from 1 species
CAAUAGCGUAUAUUAAAGUUGUUGCAGUUAAAAAGCUCGUAGUUGGAUUUCUGGUUGAAGCGACCGGUCGGGCGUUGAUUCGUCUGCACUGGAGUCGGUUUUGGCCAUCCUCUAGGAAAGUGCGUCUGGUAUUAAGUUAUCGGGCGUAUGAUCCUGGUCUUUUACUGUGAAAAAAUUAGGGUGUUUAAAGCAGGCCUUCGCCUUGAAUACAUUAGCAUGGAAUAAUAAGAUAGGACUUUGGUCUAUUUUGUUGGUUUGCAGACCGAAGUAAUGAUUAAUAGGGAUAGUUGGGGGUAUUUAUAUUCCGAUGUCAGAGGUGAAAUUCUUAGAUUUUCGGAAGAUAAACUUAUGCGAAAGCAUUUACCAAGGAUGUUUNCAUUAA